GAAACCUGGAAAGUACCCUUGGCUGUGUACAUUUGAGUAAAGAGAGCACUAUAAAAUCAAAAACCAAUGAAAUGGUUUCCAGAACACAGAACUAUUAAGCUUAAGAAAAGGACAGAAGGAACUGAAGAGAGAGGAACUGUUUUGGAGCAUCACACUUCCACCUCAGAAGAAAUAAGGAAGGAAGGAGGAGGGUGUUCCCACGGCUCUUCAACCAGGCCGGCUCUUCAGCCUACAUCCCCAUCUCAUCAAGUAAAAGGGAUUUUUCAACUGGACCAACCAGAUGGUUUAACAGUGCACUCCCACACCAUUCAACUACGCAAGGGAGAUACACUUAACAUAUGCAGUCGUAUAACACCUACUAACAUUUUCAAACAUUAAACCUUUAAAAAAGAGUUCUAAAGAAAUAGAAGCUUGAAGUAUCAUCUCUCAAGUAUAUAGACACUACUUCAUGGUGUGGUAAUAUAUGCAUAUAGAAGCUAGUAAACACCUCCAGGAGAUGCAAAAGGAAUUAGAACUGCCACAAGGUGCAAGCAAAACCUUGAGCUUCUUUAAAAUAUGAAGACUUCGAAGUUAUUUAUCCAAACCAACCUGAUCAUUUCUUAAGAGUGAAUAUACCUUGGAAGACGUGUCCUGCCUUUAGUAGCGUCACAAUGGAUUACAUCCUCUAUAAAGCAGUCUGGGGUGAGAAAAUCGAAUUUGGACACCGUUGAGGAGACUAUUGCAGUCAUCCAAGCUCAAGAUGGUGGAGCUUCAUCCUUGAGAAUAACCAAUGGGGAUAGAUUUAAGAGACACUUAGAGUCUGCAGCCAACAGGGCUGAAUGAGCAGAGAGUUAUGAUUCAGAAGAUCAUCUAAAAUUGAACAGCUGCCACUACUGGCAAUAAGUCUACUGCCAUUUGGUAGAUAACCUUCUUAUCACACAGAAAAAUAUCAGUACAGACAAAUAGACCGCAAAGAAAAUGAGACCAUCAGCAAAGAAGAUAAAGAAGUUUGUACAAAGCAACUUUUUAUAAAUGGAUGGCUGUCAGGCAAAAAUAAAUUUCCUGUGGACAAGACCAAGAGCAAGGCAAGAGGAAAAUAAACAUGUUUAAAC
rnacentral:lncRNA from 1 species